rnacentral:rRNA from 1 species
AGAGUUUGAUCCUGGCUCAGAGCGAACGCUGGCGGCAGGCUUAACACAUGCAAGUCGAGCGGGCGUAGCAAUACGUCAGCGGCAGACGGGUGAGUAACGCGUGGGAACGUACCUUUUGGUUCGGAACAACACAGGGAAACUUGUGCUAAUACCGGAUAAGCCCUUACGGGGAAAGAUUUAUCGCCGAAAGAUCGGCCCGCGUCUGAUUAGCUAGUUGGUAGGGUAAUGGCCUACCAAGGCGACGAUCAGUAGCUGGUCUGAGAGGAUGAUCAGCCACAUUGGGACUGAGACACGGCCCAAACUCCUACGGGAGGCAGCAGUGGGGAAUAUUGGACAAUGGGGGCAACCCUGAUCCAGCCAUGCCGCGAGAGUGAUGAAGGCCCUAGGGUUGUAAAGCUCUUUUGUGCGGGAAGAUAAUGACGGUACCGCAAGAAUAAGCCCCGGCUAACUUCGUG